CUACGGGGCGCUCCAGUGGGGAAUAUUGGACAAUGGGGGAAACCCUGAUCCAGCAAUGCCGCGUGUGUGAAGAAGGCCUGCGGGUUGUAAAGCACUUUCGGUUGGGAGGACUGCUUCUAGCACUAAUAUUGUUGGAAGUUGACGUUACCUUCAGAAGAAGCACCGGCUAACUCCGUGCCAGCAGCCGCGGUAAUACGGAGGGUGCAAGCGUGAAUCGGAAUUACUGGGCGUAAAGCGCGGGUAGGCGGCUAGAUCAGUCGGGGGUAAAGCCCCGGGCUUAACCUGGGAAUUGCAUCCGAUACUGUCUGGCUAGAGUACAGGAGAGGAGAGUGGAAUUCCACAUGUAGCGGUGAAAUGCGUAGAUAUGUGGAGGAACACCAAUGGCGAAGGCAGCUCUCUGGCCUGAUACUGACGCUGAGGUGCGAAAGCGUGGGGAGCAAACAGGAUUAGAUACCCGAGUAGUC
rnacentral:rRNA from 1 species